rnacentral:rRNA from 1 species
UACGGAGGGUGCAAACGUUGCUCGGAAUCAUUGGGCGUAAAGCGCACGUAGGCGGAUUGUUAAGUCGGAUGUGAAAGCCCUCAGCUUAACUGAGGAAGUGCACUCGAAACUGGCAGUCUUGAGUAUGGAAGAGGGUCGCGGAAUUCCCGGUGUAGAGGUGAAAUUCGUAGAUAUCGGGAGGAACACCAGUGGCGAAGGCGGCGACCUGGGCCAAUACUGACGCUGAGGUGCGAAAGCGUGGGGAGCAAACAGG